CUUAAAGAUAGAUUUUUUUUCCCUCUCCAAAUUCUCUGAAGACUGAAGUUCCUUAAGGACUAAGAAAACACUUGUUUCCCUUCCAGCUCCUUUUCCUGAUGCUCCAAGCAACGUUUCUGGAGCCUCCAGAACUGAAGGGCGGACCAAUUCCCUGGAGGAAAGGAAUGGAUUUGGGCCCAGGGGAGCCACAUUUUUUCUCAGCUCUAUGGCAAGCAAGCACCAAGGGUCCAAGGAUCAGGGAGCAUAUUAAAUACACUGUUCUAGGGAUUUCCCUGAUGGUGCAGUGGUUAAGAAUCCACCUGCCAGUGCAGGAGACAUGGGUUCGAGCC